CCUACGGGAGGCAGCAGUGGGGAAUAUUGGACAAUGGGGGCAACCCUGAUCCAGCCAUGCCGCGUGUGUGAAGAAGGCCCUCGGGUUGUAAAGCACUUUCAGUGAGGAAGAACGCCUGGUGGUUAAUACCCAUCAGGAAAGACAUCACUCACAGAAGAAGCACCGGCUAACUCCGUGCCAGCAGCCGCGGUAAUACGGAGGGUGCGAGCGUUAAUCGGAAUUACUGGGCGUAAAGCGCGCGUAGGUGGCUUGAUAAGCCGGUUGUGAAAGCCCCGGGCUCAACCUGGGAACGGCAUCCGGAACUGUCAAGCUAGAGUGCGGGAGAGGAAGGUAGAAUUCCCGGUGUAGCGGUGAAAUGCGUAGAGAUCGGGAGGAAUACCGGUGGCGAAGGCGGCCUUCUGGACUGUAACUGACACUGAGGUGCGAAAGCGUGGGUAGCAAACAGGAUUAGAUACCCUAGUAGUC
rnacentral:rRNA from 1 species